UACAGAGGAUGCAAGCGUUAUCCGGAAUGAUUGGGCGUAAAGCGUCUGUAGGUGGCUUUUUAAGUCCGCCGUCAAAUCCCAGGGCUCAACUCUGGACAGGCGGUGGAAACUACCAAGCUUGAGUACGGUAGGGGCAGAGGGAAUUUCCGGUGGAGCGGUGAAAUGCGUAGAGAUCGGAAAGAACACCAACGGCGAAAGCACUUUACUGGGCUAUUACUGACACUGAGAGACGAAAGCGAGGGUAGCAAAUGGG
rnacentral:rRNA from 1 species